UUCUUUGCCUAAGCCAGUGUCUGCUGGCCUUCUGUCACAUGAAACAGAAAGAGUUCUAAUACUGAACCCCUUCUCCCCACCAGAGCCCAAGCUGUUCAGGGAGGCCACCCUCGGAUCAUGCUAAGCACCUCCAUUGUGAAUAUACAGAAGCCCAAAUCUGACCUCUUUAGCCGAGGGAGGUUUCGUUCUACUCGGGCAACAGGAAAAAUCUUCAUAAAAGAAAACACCUCCUCUCCUCUCCCCCUUUCGGCGAAGACACUUUGCCUCAGACAACCACUCAAUAUGAAUAACAUGAUGAACUGGGUGCAUCUUCCUCAAGCCCUGAUAUCGUCCCUAUGGGCCACUUGCAAAGGCAGCAAAGAAG